UUCGUCUAACGGUUAGGACAGUUCCCUCUCACGGAACAAAUACGGGUUCGAUUCCCGUA
rnacentral:tRNA from 1 species